UGUGGGACUUUUAAAGUUAUUUAGAUCUUGGGGAUGAAUAAGAAAGUAAGGUUUGAAGCUUAAUGAUGAUGUAUUUGUGUCAAACUGACAAGGGGUUUUGUGCAGGAUAUUUUUUGUGCAUGAUGUUUUGUGCAGGAAGAGAAACCCUGACUAAGACACACUGGCUACUAGGAACCCUGUUUCAAAGCAAAACAAAACUUAACAGAUGCAGAGGCACUCGUGCCUGGACUGGCAGAAGGUAAGCUACAGCUCGUUACUAUUAAGAAGCACACUAUGGGUGGAAAUUUAAGAUGCUAAAGAAACCUGAAACAGAGAACUGAAUGCCGAACUACAGGUAACAGCAUGUGUUAUAACCCCCGUUACCUGACAUAGCCUCCAACUCUGUACAGCACAGAGUCUGAGCGGCUCUAGUCUUGCUGGGUCCUUGGAAGCAUAUGUGUUCUUCCUUAGUAUGUUAUCUCUGUCUAUGAUAAAUUCUUCCUUUGGGGACCCAAGAACUCGAACCCUUUCUGGAAAUGUCCACAGAACCCCCAUAUCAGCCAAUAUCAAUAGGAAAUCUUUAGUUUCCGGUAAUUUGAGAAGAACCUGUAGAAGAGAAAGCCAGGAGGGAGCUACUAGUUCUAUGAACCACUCUAUCAUCCCCUGGCCCACCAGGGUUCUUUCGUAGGGCAGUCUAGAAGCAUGGCCGGCGGCGUGAGGCUAGAAAGGCUGGCAUCGCUUGCUCCUGGUUCCAUGGUAUCAUUCUGACCUAUAUUCAGGUGGUUCCUCCUGCUUUUCUUUUCUGGACACUGGAAAUGCGAGUCCGUGUGAAGAAGACUCAGAGGACAAGUGAGCCCCGAGCAUAAUCUGCUGUGUUGGAUUCCUUGGAACACCACCAGACGGUAUGAUGGCAGGAACCUGGCCAGAGAGAGGAAGCGAAGCAGAAGCGGCAGGGAAUGUUGAGUCAUGGAUGAGCCACGGGUGAGCCUUGGGUGAGCCACGGGUGAGCCUUGGGUGAGCCUCCGGUGAGCCUCGGGUGAGCCACAGGUGAGUGUGACAAGACUUCUUGGGAGAGAGGCUUCAGUGAGCAGCUCCUCUAAUUGGUGGUGGUGGGGACAAUGACUAUUUAAACCUUUUUGGGGAGAUGGGAUGGGGUAGAGGGGUGAGUAGGGGCUAUGGGGUGAGUGUAUAUCCUUGGUUUGAGCAGGUACUGCGGAUGCCUCAUUUGCAUAACCAGGUGCUCGCUGCAUGUGACCUUAUAAGGAGAAAGGAAGUUCAACUUGUAACUUGGAGACCAGGUUAUAUGACUAAGGCCUCCAGAUUAAAGCCGAAACAGAAGUAAACCCGAAUCAGAACCCGAUAUGGACAAGACAAAAGACUACAGUGAGGCCGUACUUACAGAUGGGAAAAAAACCAGGGUCUCUGGUAAAUCCUGGAGGAGCCCACAAACGUAAGGGUCUAUGAUUCAUUGAAGAGCGACACCCCAACUCAAAUGCUGUGCAAAUGCAAAGAGUGUUUUAUUCUGCAGACGUCCAGCAUGCUGGGGUCUCCCAUUACCAAGACAGAGAGACACCCAAGUAAGCUUGCAGGCCUGGUUUAAAGCACAUUAGAGAAUUCCAGGGCAGGUGGCCUUUGCCUCACUCUAUCUCUAUGGACAUCCCGUUUCCUGAGUGUGGGGGCUGGCUAGAAACUGUGGACCCGUUGUCCUUGCCUCAAGCCAGGCGGUGGGGCAGUUUCUAAUGGCAGAGCAGUUUCUGACUGGCUGCCUGUAGCCUGGGUUUUUAAGCCCUUAUCUCUCGAACUGUCCAUUUGAAGUCUGUCAUGGAGUCAGCCUGUCUCAUCAGUUAUGUAAACCAUCCAGGAGAGUGAGCUCUCAAAGAGUGGUGACCAGGAGAAAGGAAUGGGAAUAUUGCCGUCCAUGUUUAAGUUUGGAGAGAUGAAAUCGUGCUAGAGGUAGAUGGCAGGGGUGACUGUGUAACAGGGAUGUACUCACUACCUCGAAGUGGAGAUGUGGUUGAAUGGUUCAGAUUUUACUGCAAUUAAAAAAUGUUAGAUGCUGGGGCUGGGGAUUUAGCUCAGCGGUAGAGCGCUUACCUAGGAAGCG
rnacentral:sRNA from 1 species